rnacentral:rRNA from 1 species
UUGUUCCUACGGGGCGCAGCAGUAGGGAAUCUUCCACAAUGGACGAAAGUCUGAUGGAGCAACGCCGCGUGAGUGAAGAAGGGUUUCGGCUCGUAAAGCUCUGUUGGUUGUGAAGAAAGAUAGAGGUAGUAACUGGCCUUUAUUUGACGGGAAUUACUUAGAAAGUCACGGCUAACUACUUGCCAGCAGCCGCGGUAAUACGUAGGUGGCAAGCGUUGUCCGGGUUUAUUGGGCGUAAAGCGA